UGCUUGGGAAUAUGCCUUUAGGUGGGGACGAACAGUUGGAAACAACUGCUAAUACCGCAUAAUGUCUACGGACCAAAGAAGGGGGACCGUUCGGGCCUCUUGCCUUUAGAUUAGCCCAAGUGAGAUUAGCUAGUAGGUGAGGUAAUGGCUCACCUAGGCGACGAUCUCUAGCUGGUUUGAGAGGAUGAUCAGCAACACUGGGACUGAGACACGGCCCAGACUCCUACGGGAGGCAGCAGUGGGGAAGUCUUAGACAAUGGGCGCAAGCCUGAUCUAGCGAUGCCGCGUGAGUGAUGAAGG
rnacentral:rRNA from 1 species